rnacentral:rRNA from 1 species
AAGUAUCCCACCUGGGAGUACGAUCGCAAGGUUGAAACUCAAAGGAAUUGACGGGGGCCCGCACAAGCGGUGGAGUAUGUGGUUUAAUUCGAAGCAACGCGAAGAACCUUACCAGGGCUUGACAUCCCGGUGACCGUCCUAGAGAUAGGAUUUUCCCUUCGGGGACACUGGAGACAGGUGGUGCAUGGUUGUCGUCAGCUCGUGUCGUGAGAUGUUGGGUUAAGUCCCGCAACGAGCGCAACCCUUAUUGUUAGUUGCUACGCAAGAGCACUCUAGCGAGACUGCCGUUGACAAAACGGAGGAAGGUGGGGACGACGUCAAAUCAUCAUGCCCCUUAUGUCCUGGGCCACACACGUACUACAAUGGUGGUCAACAGAGGGAAGCAAAGCCGCGAGGUGGAGCAAAUCCCUAAAAGCCAUCCCAGUUCGGAUCGCAGGCUGCAACCCGCCUGCGUGAAGUUGGAAUCGCUAGUAAUCGCGGAUCAGAAUGCCGCGGUGAAU